UACGUAGGGCGCAAGCGUUAUCCGGAAUUAUUGGGCGUAAAGAGCUCGUAGGCGGUUUGUCGCGUCUGCCGUGAAAGUCCGGGGCUCAACUCCGGAUCUGCGGUGGGUACGGGCAGACUAGAGUGAUGUAGGGGAGACUGGAAUUCCUGGUGUAGCGGUGAAAUGCGCAGAUAUCAGGAGGAACACCAGCGGCGAAGGCGGCGUUCUGGGCCGGAACUGACGCUGAGGAGCGAAAGCGUGGGUAGCAAACAGG
rnacentral:rRNA from 1 species